UUUCUCUUUGUUGCUGUUUUUUGCUGUUAAAGAAGUUCGAAGUGGAACUGCCUAACCUCAAUGAUCAGAAUUUUAUUUUAUCAGAUUCCUCUGAAACAUUGGCUGCCUUUUCUUGUCUUGGUCAACAGAUAAGAUGAAUAAUUACUUCAUUGAAGAAGGGGAUCAGGCUCUUCAUUCAACUCAUUCUCUGAUUUAUGGGAGAAAUACUAACAAGCCCAUAGAUGCCACAUUGAGUCUGGACUGUUACCACCUGAGAGGGCAGCAGGAGUGUUAACAAGUGCAAAGAACAUAGAGACAGAAUUUUCUGAGUAAAUCAGUAAUCAUGAGAGAAAGUGGCUGGGCUGAUUACCUUGGACAGCUAGUGAGAUCCACACCCACUGGGAGCUGGAUUCAGGCCAUCCAAGCACCAGCUGUGUGAGAGAGAGGGGACUUUCAUUCAAGCCUCCUGGGUCCCAAGAGUGACGGGGUAACAUCAUUCAAUGCCUACACGACAACUUUAAAUGACUGCAGUCAUUCCAAGCUAAAUGCAACUCAUUCCCGUUGCAAAUAUUUAUUAAAACUAGUGUCCUAAAACAAAGUUUUAUGUAGAUGUAAAAACCCCAACUUAUUUUAUUUCUUUUGGCACUGUUAGCAUGGCUUGUGAGAUGAUUGUAAGUGCUGUCAAGGCUGCAGUAUUGAACGGGAUAAUAGAACAAUCAUAAAAACAUUCAACCCUACAUGUCAAGAAUAAUCUACUGUUGGAUGUUUUUGGUUAAGUUUUAGAUGGGAGAUAGGAAAAAUGCUCUUGAGUUUCUGGAUUUCAUCAGCCAUCAGCAUGAGGGCAAUUGAGGUAGAAAGUUGCAGAGUUAUUGAUUAAAAGAGAAUUGAAGAUAUAAAGUGCUCUUGAGUUGUGCUUUGCGACACUUACACAUAUUUUCCUUCUUUGUUGAAAUUAAAUCCCACAUUGCUUUGGAAUUUAACUCACCCAUUUCCAGGAAAGUCUGGAAUGAAGUGGACUAUUGCAUUAAGCUGCAGAGACCUGUAGAAUUGGUCUGCUCCAUCAUGAGCACUAGCCUCCAUAGUAUCCAGGAAAUCUUCAAGGAGCGGUGCCUCAAAAAGGUAGCAUCCAUCAUUAAGAAUCCUCCCACUUCCCAGGACGUGCCCUCUUCUCAUUGCUAUCACCAGGAAGGAGGUACAGAAGCCUGAAGUCACACACUCACUGAUUCAGGAGCAGCUUCUUCCCCUCUACCGGCCAAUUUCUGAAUGGACAUUGAACCCAUGAACAAUACUUCACUACUUUUUCAUUUCUAUUUUUGCACCAUUUAUUUAACUGUUUGGCAGCUGUUUGAUAAUCAUUGCGAUUCACAUUUUUAAAAUUAUUAUGUACUGCAUUGUACUGCUACCGUGAAGUUAACAAAUUUCAUGGAAUAUGCCCGUGAUAUUAAACCUGAUUCUGAUGCUGAAAACUGGGUGCAUCAAUUUACUGAGAUUAAAAGAUCUUCAAAUUGCCAGGUUUGAAAAGUUUCAAAAUGAUUAAUUCAAAAAGAAUUAAUUUAGUGACUUGUGUACACUACUGAAUAUGUUAAAUGAAUCAACUUUUUUUUGUUUUAAUCAUGUAAAUUGAUUUUAUAUCACCUGACUCGCAGAUGUGGAACCAAACACCCAUAUUAAAUUGUUUAUUCUUUGUGAUUAUUUAAACAAAAGCUCCAUGAAAUCAGCACUCUUAAAUGUGUCAGGGAAUAUUUUAUGAUGGGAAAUAGAAACAAUUACAUUGCAAUACACUCUCUAAUUUUACUGGAUUGUGGAAGAUUUUAUGUGUGUGAUUAUACGUAGAGUUUUAAUAAAUAUUUGAAGACUAACCUAGCAGCCACAUUUAACUUCACAAUGGAAUAUCAUUUCGAAGGGAGAUACUUGAAAAAAAAAUCUCACUAUAGACUCUUCACUCUCCACUAUAAAAGAAAUAAAUCAUGCCUCACGCCUGAAUAUUUGACUGUGUAGGGAUCUUGAAUUAAUUUAGAAAUACAGCAGUUAUUUUUACAAUGUAAAUUGCUCUUUGCCAGCACUGUACAUUGAAGAGGUGAUGCCUCCUUGACACGCACACUCUAAGCCACAAAAUCCUCAUAGCUUUCAACCGCUCCUACGGAAUUUGUGGGGACCCACUGGACGUUGGAGACUAGUGGAUAGAAUAUGGUAUGGAGCUUGUCUCCAUACCAUAUUGCUGGUCAGACUCCACAGACAGCUGGGAUGUCCCAGCAUUCUGCAGGGGAUUUGCCUCUCUGGAAUACAAAAAGGGGCACCAUUCAUUACGACUGGCUGAUUUGGAAACUACCCAGUUUUUUAACAUUUAGCUUUAACAGAAUAAGAAUCAGGUUUAAUAUCACCGGAAUAUGUCAUGAAAUUUGUUUGUCUUUGUGGCAGCAGUGCAACGCAAUACAGAAAAAGAAACAUGAAUUACUGUUGUUAUGAUCCCAGCCCCCUCCUUUGUGAGAAUCGCAAGAGCACCCGUCGAAAGGGGGGGAGGUCAGUAGACCCAGUUGGAGAGAGAGAGAAAAAAACGUGCCAAAUUGCAGGUCCCACCAGGGAUACAGAAUAAAGACAACAGCGACUAUUGUCUCAUGGAGACCACGUGAAAAGCCCUCGGGCAAGGUGGGCUGGUUGAGAGAGAGAUUGCAUCAUCCCAACCUGAUUGACACCUGCGACCCCGUGAGGAAGUAUAAAGGAGAGUCUCAGGGGGACAGCCCCCUCAGACGCACCAAGAAGACACGAGAGUGUUUCCGCAGCAGCGGGAAGCCAUUCUGAAGGAAGCCACGUGCGUUAGAUUCCGGGAUUGGAAUCUGUGGCUGGAAUCACAGGAAACCGCUUUUAACUAACAUCGGGGAGAGGAAACCAAUGUUCCCCCGAUUUCACGGAAGAUUCAUCGAGACUCGGCAAGUUCUUUCUCUUCUCCCCCAAUCUCUCUCUCUCGGUCGCCCCACGGAAAACCCAGCGAAUUUCAAAGGGCUGAGGCCUGCAGACUUUGAGUGACUUUUAUAUUUCCAACGGACAAUCUAUUAACCCCUAGACACCAGCAGAGCUCACUUCUUAAUGAUGAUUAUUACUAUACCCGCACUUUAGAUUGAGUGUUGACGAUGUGCACUAUCUGAAUGUUUGUAUUAACCCUACUUUUGUGUCCCUUUAUCAAUAAAAACGUUUGAAAAUAGUGACAUCAGACUUCAACGGACCUCUCUAUCUUUGCUGGUAAGUUCUCCAGUUACGGGAU